UACGGAGGAUGCGAGCGUUAUCCGGAUUUAUUGGGUUUAAAGGGUGCGUAGGCGGGCUUUUAAGUCAGCGGUAAAAAUUCGGGGCUCAACCCCGUCCGGCCGUUGAAACUGGGGGCCUUGAGUGGGCGAGAAGAGGGCGGAAUGCGUGGUGUAGCGGUGAAAUGCAUAGAUAUCACGCAGAACCCCGAUUGCGAAGGCAGCCUUCCGGCGCCCUACUGACGCUGAGGCACGAAAGUGCGGGGAUCGAACAGG
rnacentral:rRNA from 1 species